rnacentral:rRNA from 1 species
GACGAACGCUGGCGGCGUGCCUAAUACAUGCCAGUUGAGCGCUGAAGGUUGGUACUUGUACCAACUGGAUGAGCAGCGAACGGGUGAGUAACGCGUGGGGAAUCUGCCUUUGAGCGGGGGACAACAUUUGGAAACGAAUGCUAAUACCUCAUAAAAACUUUAAACACAAGUUUUAAGUUUGAAAGAUGCAAUUGCAUCACUCAAAGAUGAUCCCGCGUUGUAUUAGCUAGUUGGUGAGGUAAAGGCUCACCAAGGCGAUGAUACAUAGCCGACCUGAGAGGGUGAUCGGCCACAUUGGGACUGAGACACGGCCCAAACUCCUACGGGAGGCAGCAGUAGGGAAUCUUCGGCAAUGGACGAAAGUCUGACCGAGCAACGCCGCGUGAGUGAAGAAGGUUUUCGGAUCGUAAAACUCUGUUGGUAGAGAAGAACGUUGGUGAGAGUGGAAAGCUCAUCAAGUGACGGUAACUACCCAGAAAGGGACGGCUAACUACGUG